GACGAACGCUGGCGGCGUGCUUAACACAUGCAAGUCGAACGGAAAGGCACUGCUUUUGUGGGGUGCUCGAGUGGCGAACGGGUGAGUAACACGUGAGUAACCGGCCCUAGACUUUGGGAUAACUUCAGGAAACUGGGGCUAAUACCGGAUAGCAGCUCCUGCUGGAGGGUGGGGGGUGGAAAGUUGCGGCGGGUGGGGAUGGACGCGCGGCUUAUCAGCUUGUUGGUGGGGGAGUGGCUUACCAAGGCUUUGGCGGGUAGCCGGCCUGAGAGGGUGACCGGGCACAUUGGGACUGCGGGACGGACCAGAGUGCUACGGGAGGCAGCAGUGGGGAAUAUUGUCCAAUGGGCGGACGUCUGAUGAAGCAGCGCCGCGUGCGGGAUGACGGUCUUCGGGUUGUAAACCGCUUUAGCCUGUUACCAAGCGUGAGUGACGGUAAUGGGUGAAGAAGCACCGGCUAACUACGUG
rnacentral:rRNA from 1 species